rnacentral:rRNA from 1 species
UGAACGCUAGCGGCAGGCUUAACACAUGCAAGUCGAGGGGUAUAGUUCUUCGGAAUUAGAGACCGGCGCACGGGUGCGUAACGCGUAUGCAAUCUACCUUCACAGAGGGAUAGCCCAGAGAAAUUUGGAUUAAUACCUCAUAGUAUAGCAGUUUCGCAUGAAACCACUAUUAAAGUCACAACGGUGAAAGAUGAGCAUGCGUCCCAUUAGCUAGAUGGUAAGGUAACGGCUUACCAUGGCUACGAUGGGUAGGGGUCCUGAGAGGGAGAUCCCCCACACUGGUACUGAGACACGGACCAGACUCCUACGGGAGGCAGCAGUGAGGAAUAUUGGACAAUGGGCGCAAGCCUGAUCCAGCCAUGCCGCGUGCAGGAUGACGGUCCUAUGGAUUGUAAACUGCUUUUGUACGAGAAGAAACAACACUACGUGUAAUGUCUUGACGGUAUCGUAAGAAUAAGGAUCGGCUAACUCCGUG